AGGAAUGUAUUCGAUCUAUAUACAAAUUAAUUAUUUUUUAUAUAUACGUUUUUUUGUUGGGUCGACCACUUAUUUCCCCGCGAUAAGUAUUGUAUAGUGCUAUAUGUCUCCGAAACUAUUGCCUCUAUUUAUUUGUCUCCGAGAAUAAAUUUCUAUUCCUAUUUCCUCCCAAAUAUAUAGUUCGAAACCUAUUUCUCUCCAAUCAUCGAAUUAGAUGGUUUAAUAUCAGUUUACUAUUUCAACCUAAACCAUAAACCACUUAAAGUUGAUAGUUAACCAGCUAAGAUCCAAUUAAGUUGAAAUAGUAAACCGAUAUUAAACCAUCUAAUUCGAUGAUUGUGAAGAAAUAAGCUUCGAACUAUAUAUUCGGGGGAGAAAUAGGAAUUGAACUUUAUUUUCGGGGACAAAUAGAUAGAGACAAUAGUUUCGUAGACAUAUAUCACUAUACAAUAGUUUUCGUAGGGAAGUAAACGGUGGACCCUUUUUUGUUUAAGAUUCAUUUGUACGUAUUCUCCAAUGAUACUGAUCCUGCAGAAGUCAAAUAAUU
rnacentral:lncRNA from 1 species